GGUAAUGUGUGGCAUAGUGGUUUGAGUGUUGGACUGAGACUCUGGAGUCUAGAGUUCAAUUCCCAGCUUAACCA